rnacentral:lncRNA from 1 species
CUGCAGCUGAAAUUCCUUGGCUUGGAAAGUGGAAAGGAAGAAUGUGUCAUCUGUGGCUGAAGGCCUUGAGCGGUAAUUAUAAAGACUUCAAAUCUCCCUAGUGACAUCAGCUGGUUAAAAAACUUUGGAUCACUGGAUUAAUGUAACCCAGAGCCUGCUUUUGGCAGUGUUAUUCACACUCCAGACAAGGCAGAAGAACAGAGGGAGUGAAGAUGUCAAAGGAGUAAGACCAAGACAGAGGGACUUAAAACCAGGUAAGAAUUGAGGCAGAAGCAGUGAAGUCUUUAACAGACUGGUUUGUGUAACAACCUUU